rnacentral:sRNA from 1 species
CGAUAGUCGACGACUUUAUGUCGGUCUC